UUUAAAGUGUUUCUAUUCCUCAUCUCUACUUAUUUUCUUCAAUUCACUCUAAAUGAUCUCAUUGUUCCAUUUUGAUUGAAUACUAAGGAUGAUUCUCUUUGCAGAUAUCAGGUGCGUGCUCUCACCCAUGAAUGAACUCAUUGAAGUGAUGCUAGGCUCUGCGUGUAUAACCAUUUUCUGUGCUUUCUUUUCACCCUACCCAUUCGUGUGUUCCAUCAGCUCUCUUGCAGCCAAACACUACAAGCCUUUUUCUUCUAUCACCCUCAUAAUUCCCCUAACUUUGUAUCUCAAUCAGAGAUAUUUAACCUAUUGUAGCCAUACCCUAUAGCUUAGAAAUAUACCAAGGUGUGCGAAGAAAAAGUUUGAAGCAAGGAGGUUGCUGCCACAUGCCCAAAUGUAAAUUGGUGUGAAUCUAUGCAAUAAAGUUAAAGAAGAAGUAGAUCAAGUCAAAAAAAAAAAAAAGAUAAAGAGAAAGUGUUUCGAUUUGAUCUAAAUGUGAAAUAUAAAGUCUAUGCCAGAUGAUGCUAUGAAGUUGCAGCCAUACCAUUCUAAAUCAAUGAUACCUUGCAGAUCAGUGAAGAAUGCAACCUUGGUAUGUUCUUAAGUUAGUUGUGUUCCUUCCAAUUCUUCCACUUCCCUUAACCUUAGCCUUUCAUUACAACCUUGUGAAAGACCUAGCUGAUCUUUGAGGAUGUAUUCAUGGGUGCUGGUAUGUAUGUGUGUAUCUCUACUCUUAGUAUUUGAUUCCCUUCAUGAGAUCUAACCAAAUAUUGUGCUUCUAUUUCAUAUACUCACUUAUGCUUGUUUGAGAGAAUAAAACCAUAGGUUCUGAGUGAUUGAGUGCUAGAUGUGAGAAUUAGAGUUGAAGCAUGUUCUUCCUUUAAGAUUUGAGUAUGUUUACUUUGAAGCCGUGUGCCUUUGAGCUAUAGCUUCCACUUUACACGCUUAUUGAUCAUCUAUCUUGGUAACUCUAUGGUGUUGGAUGCAUGAUUAAAGUUUUCUUUCAUUAGUUGUUUUCAAAGUUAGUUUUCUAACCUUUUGGUGUUAGAGAGUCAGUAAAGCGUUUGUGGGUAUCGUUUCUGUUAAACCCUCAGGAGACACAACUCUUCCGAUUAGGGAUGCCGAGAGGUUUAAAGGCUUGUUGCAUAUGCACAUUGCAAUCGAGUUACCUACAGAAGUGGUUUAGUUAACUUCUUGUUUUGUUUUCAACUUUAUUCUCUUUUGUUUUGCUCGAGGACUAGCAAAAUCUAGGUCUGGGGGUAUUUGAUCAGUUCACAAUUGUAUAUCAUUUUGUACCCUUCUAGCUUAUGAUUUGGUUAUGUUAUUGAGUCAAACGUGUGCUUUUAAUCCCUUUUCUGUUUAUCAUUCAGUUCAUUGGGCCUUAGGUAGCAAUGGUGUCUUUGGAUAAGAAAAGAUGCAAAAUGGUGCAAAAACGAGCAGACUGGGUUAGCAACUCAUUUCGGCCUUAACAUCUUUCUCCGAACUUCGAUUGGCCCAAAUAAUAUGUAGUUGGAAAGAUGAGAGUCUGAACUUCAAGAUGGACUACUCAAAUGCAUCAGAUUAUGAAGUUGAGCCCAAUUCGUGAGCCCAUAUACACACCAGGCUCAGGAUUGCAGUUUCCAGUUGUUAAGCCUUGGAUACUUUCUUUGAGCCAUGUGACUCACCACAGCUUUCCUUGACUUUAGACCUGACAUGUUGAGCAAUUAAGGGAGGUCUGUCAGCUACUCAAGUGUAGAGGAGAGCCAUGUGACUCACCACAGCUUUCCUUGACUUUAGACCUGACAUGUUGAGCAAUUAAGGGAGGAGUGUCAGCUACUCAAGUGCAAAGGAGCCUUGACUUUAGACCAGACAUGUUGAGCAAUUUAGGGAGAAAUUUAGGGAGGUGUGUCAGCUACUCAAAGGCAAAGGAUUCACUCAAUUGACCAAUAAUUCACUCCAGCCAUCUUAUAUCACUCCAUUCAGCCCAAAAUCGGAGGGGGGGGAACAACUCCAACAAGCCUUCCUUCCAUUUCCUACGAAUUUGUUCUUUCUCUGCCAUCACCAACCACCCAAACUCAUCCCAAAUCACCUCUUUAGUUGCCAUACUCUAGACAUGAGAAAGUUCUUGGAGUAGCAUUAGACGUGGAGAAGCACCUGGAGAAGCCUUGGAAACCACAAGCAACUUCAGAAUUGGGUUUCUCUACUCUUAUUGCAUUCAAUAUGUUUUCUCAUUUUUGCUUAAGUUUCAUUUCCAUUAUGAGUAGCUAAAUUCAUAACUAGGGCUAUGAUGUAACCUAACAUGAAUAUUCUGGGUUUAUAAGUUGAAGUUUUGAGUUUCAAGUUUGAUUCAUGAUUCAUAUUCCUAUUCUUUAUGCUUAUCAGUUAAUAUGC
rnacentral:lncRNA from 1 species